CUUCCCUUCAGUCCUGCAGAAUCAAGUGACCGGGAGCGAGGCGAUCAGAGGUGGAAGCUGUGACGAGGACAGGUCCUUCUCAAAGAUGUCUGCCCAGGUGAGCAGUCUGAGACUUGUCCACAGAGAGACCUGACCUGGCCAAGGUAAGUACUUACUGGCUCCUGGAGAUACUUGGAGUGAUUAAAGCAAAAAGAAAUGCUUUGGCUCAAAUGAAAUAAAAAUCAUGGGACAUAUUCCAGUGAAAGUGCAGUGAUGCCGGGUCCACAGAAUUUCUCUGUGCACUAGUUUGGUUAUCAUUAUUUACAAAUAACAGAAAACCUCAUUAAAAUUAACUCGAACAAGUCAGAUUUUUAGAUUCAUAACUGAAAGUUCCAGAGGGAGAUCAGGCAUGACUUGAUCAGGGUGCAGAUUCUGUUUCUCAGCAUUUUUCUUGGUUUG
rnacentral:lncRNA from 1 species